GCGGGUAUAGCUCAGUGGUACAGCGCAUGCUUAACACACUUGAGAUCCGGGGUUCAAUCCCCAGUACUUCCA
rnacentral:tRNA from 1 species